AGAAGAGCCGAGGAUUGGGUUGCGGCACAUUAAUACUGCAGCCUAGCCCACCAGGAAGGGGGGAAACAAAUAACACAACCCAAAGAGAAAUAAAUACACCAGAGCCCGUCAGGAUCAUCAGCUCAUUGGAACAUGCUGUAAGUGAGAGUAUGUGGGGCAGGCAGAGCCUGCAAAUGAAAAGGGAAUACACAGUAAUGGGGCAAGCAGAGCCUGCCAGGAAUGGGGCAAAUAAGGCCCAGUGUGCAGACAGAGCCUGCCAGAGAAAGGGAAAAAAACAGUAAUGGGGAAGGCAGACAGG